AAAUAUACACUUCCAAAUAUGUAUUAACUUAAAGCCUUUUUUAUCUACGCAUGUAACCAACCUCCUUACUAACAAACUUUAGAAUUUUAAAAAGAAGUAAACAUAUUCAUUGUCACAUUGUCAACAGCUACCACGACGAUCGAUUGUGAACAUGAGGAUCCAAAAAAGCCAUCAGCCAUGUUAAAAUACAAUGUAGCAUCUUGAUGAAAUUAUUAUAUAAUUUUGGUUCUAAGAGGUCAUGGCAAUAUUUUCUAGGGCUGGACGGUAUAUGGCUAAAGUGAUGGGGUUCGGACGCAGUAUCUUCAAGCAAACGGUGCGAUGUAGUGGUCUCCAGACUGUCAUGGGCAACCAGCCUGGUCACACGAAUAUGAGACAUCAAGAGUCCAGUAAGCGCCGUGCCAUCGCCUUACACUAUGCUCAGAAAGAGUCCUCGUUGAACAACUUCUGGAAGAGACCACGUCGUGAUACAACAUAAAAUUAAUGAAAUAAUUUCAUCGAAAUCGCAAAACUACCGCAACAUGAGCGUUACAUAAUUAUAGUAGAAUAAUAACUGUAACAUAUUU